AUUGAACGCUGGCGGCAUGCCUUACACAUGCAAGUCGAACGGUAACGGGCCUUCGGGUGCCGACGAGUGGCGAACGGGUGAGUAAUGCAUCGGAACGUACCUUUCAGUGGGGGAUAACGUAGCGAAAGUUACGCUAAUACCGCAUAUUCUGUGAGCAGGAAAGCAGGGGAUCGCAAGACCUUGCGCUGAUUGAGCGGCCGAUGUCAGAUUAGCUAGUUGGUGAGGUAAAGGCUCACCAAGGUGACGAUCUGUAGCGGGUCUGAGAGGAUGAUCCGCCACACUGGGACUGAGACACGGCCCAGACUCCUACGGGAGGCAGCAGUGGGGAAUUUUGGACAAUGGGGGCAACCCUGAUCCAGCCAUGCCGCGUGAGUGAAGAAGGCCUUCGGGUUGUAAAGCUCUUUCGGCCGGGAAGAAAUCGCACGGGCUAACACCCUGUGUGGAUGACGGUACCGGAAUAAGAAGCACCGGCUAACUACGUGCCAGCCGCCGCGGUAACAC
rnacentral:rRNA from 1 species